GCGGAAGUGUUGGAAUUGGUAGACAAGCAAGAUUAAGGUUCUUGUGGCUUCACGGUCGUGCGGGUUCAAGUCCCGCCUUCCGCA
rnacentral:tRNA from 1 species